AUGGGGGAUUAAUGCAAAAGAGAGAAGGAAUUCCCCUGUAAGGGUGAAAGGUAAAAGAUUGAAGAACACCAGGGGGAAGGCGCUCUUUGGACGUUACUGAGGUGAGGGGCGAAAAGGGGGGAAGCAAACAGGAUAAGAUACCUGGUAGUCCACGCGUAAAACGAUGAGUGUUAGUUGNGGGGGUGUCAUGCCCUCGGUGCCGAAGUAACAACAUAAAGCAUUCCGCCUGGGGAGUACGGUCGCAAGACUGAAAUUCAAAGGAAUUGACGGGGACCCGCACAAGCAGUGGAGUAUGUGGUUUAAUUNGAAGCAACGCGAAGAACCUUACCAGGUCUUGACAUCCCUCUGAAUACGCUAGAGAUAGGGUAGGCCUUCGGGACAGAGGAGACAGGUGGUGCAUGGUUGUCGUCAGCUCGUGUCGUGAGAUGUUGGGUUAAGUCCCGCAACGAGCGCAACCCUUGAUCUUAGUUGCCAGCACCUUGGGUGGGCACUCUAGGAUGACUGCCGGUGACAAACCGGAGGAAGGUGGGGAUGACGUCAAAUCAUCAUGCCCCUUAUGACCUGGGCUACACACGUACUACAAUGGUCGGUACAACGGGAAGCGAAGGAGCGAUCUGGAGCGAAUCCUUAUAAGCCGAUCUCAGUUCGGAUUGCAGGCUGCAACUCGCCUGCAUGAAGUCGGAAUUGCUAGUAAUCGCGGAUCAGCAUGCCGCGGUGAAUACGUUCCCGGGUCUUGUACACACCGCCCGUCACACCACGAGAGUUUACAACACCCGAAGUCGGUGGGGUAACCCGCGAGGGAGCCAGCCGCCGAAGGUGGGGUAGAUGAUUGGGGUGAAGUCGUAACAAGGUAA
rnacentral:rRNA from 1 species